rnacentral:lncRNA from 1 species
GAAUCUUCACCGUCACCACCUUCUUCUUACCGUCGACGUUUUGCCGUCGCCAUCACCUUCUCCACGUCGAAUCUUCACCGUCACCACCACCUUCUUACCGUCGACUUUUUGCCGUCGCCAUCACCUUCAUUCCGUCGAAUCUUCACCGUCACCACCUUCUUCUUACCGUCGACGUUUUGCCGUCGCCAUCACCUUCUCCACGUCGAAUCUUCACCGUCACCACCUUCUUCUUAUCGCCGACGUUUUGCCGUCGCCGUCACCUUCUCCACGUCGAAUCUUCACCGUCACCACCUUCUUCUUACCGCCGACGUUUUGCCGUCGCCGUCACCUUCUCCACGUCGAAUCUUCACCGUCACCACCUUCUUACCGUCGACGUUUUGCCGUCGCCAUCACCUUCUCCACGUCGAAUCUUCACCGUCACCACCUUCUUCUUACCAUCGACGUUUUGCCGUAGCCAUCACCUUGAUCCCGUCGAAUCUUCACCGUCACCACCUUCUUCUUACCGCCGACGUUUUGCCGUCGCCAUCACCUUCUCCACGUCGAAUCUUCACCGUCACCAUCUUCUUCUUACCGUCGACGUUUUGCCGUCGCCAUCACCUUCUCCACGUCGAAUCUUCACCGUCACCACCUUCUCUGGUAUAAUUUGGUUUGGGGGCUUUGCCUGGACCUAUGCUAUUUGAGGGGUUACCUGGCGCAAUGUGGUUCGGGGGUUUGCAUGGACCGAUGCUAUUUGGGGGUUUGCCAGGCGAAAUGUGGUUCGGGGGUUUGCAUGGAACGAUGCUAUCUGGG